UUCAAAUGGAUGCCAAUUAUUCAAACAAACAAAAAUGUCUGAUUUGUGGCGAUAAAUCAAAUGGCUAUCAUUUCAAUGCCAUAACUUGCGAGUCGUGUAAAUCAUUUUUCAGGAGAAAUGCAUUAAAAUAUAAAGAUCGAUACAAAUGCUAUUCGGGCGGCAAUUGUAUGAUAACUGUUGACAAUCGGAUCAAAUGCAAGAAAUGCCGACUCGACCGGUGUUUUUCAGUCGGUAUGAAAACUAGAGCGAAAAGUUUCGGACCCGUACCUGACCCGUACCUGAUCUGAUACCUAAAAUCUCGGACUCGGACCUGACCUAACAUAGGGUACAAAUUUACCUGACCUGACCUGACCUGACUAUGUCUGUCCGAAAAUAAUUUUAUCAAAAAACAAUUUUAUUUAUUCUAUACCCGCAACAAAUUUCUCUAAAUUAACUUUAAUUACUCGGGAUUAACGAUAACUGAUUGUAGAUCUAACUUAGAUUCUAAUAAAGUUAAUAUGUUAUUAUUUAUUAGAUCAAAACCAUCAUCUUUUGUAAUAUUUUAUGUUUAAUUUAUACAACUAUUUUAUAAAUAAUAAUUUAAUAAAUUUUGUGUUUGAUUGUCAUAUUUUGUAAUAAUUGU